GUGCUUGAAGAUUUUUAAUGUCCUACAGAGUUGGCAGAAAUGUCCAACUGUUAGUUAGUUAGACCUCUCCAUGGAUUAGAAUUUUGUUCAGCUAACUUUGAUUUUUCUAAACAAUAAAACCCCCUUUUUUUUGCAGAGUCUGUCUUGGGUCCCAUUGUGCAGUAUUACAGUGACAUCACUGGAGUAGUGAGUCACACAGCAGGGAUUUAGAGAAGAAGGAAUCUAUUGGGAAAAAAGAAGAGGGUAGCAGGUCAAAUUAGAUUCAUGUGGAUGAGAAAUGAGCGAACUGGGUAGGAGCUGGAAUUCUUCACUGGUUCAGAUUACAUCCUGGACACCUUGGAGCAAAAUGUCAUAUUUGCCUGGGAUUAAAGUAGCACAGCUGAUGACAGCAGUUCAGUCAACGAAGAGAAAUCUAAGUCUCCCCAAGUGCAUCAGAAAUAGGAAUGGAAAAUAAU
rnacentral:lncRNA from 11 species